ensembl:lncRNA
AUCCGUCUCUCCGAUUGAGCUCUUGCUGUAGGAGCACCAACCCGACGAGCAUCAUUUUUGUUGGUGCAUAGAGGAGAGCUGUAGGUGAAGCCAGAGGAUCCCCCUUUGCCUGACAGGAGCUUUACAAAGGAAGGUCAGUCACCAGGUACCCAUUACGCAGGCAAAGGAAGCUGAGACUCAUGCAAAGCCUCUGGCAAAGGUGGAAACAAAACCUCGGGCUGUGAUCCUGCAUUAACAGCCGUCUGGAUCUUCCUGCCUGGAGCUCCUUACAGAUGAGCAGUCUGGGACUGGACCGGUGAAGACGUAACUCCCUUUGUACCUGCUGUUACUGCUGAUGCCCCGAAAGGCUGCCUCUCGCUGCUGCUGGUGCCACCCAGACCUCUGCCACCGCAGCACCUGGUCGCAGCAGGGCUCAACACCCGGCUACUCCCACUGAUGGCUCCAGGGCGAGGCAAGAGGCUAUUGAUGCUUCUGAUCCCAGCCUGCCUCCCUGCAGGGGGAGACGCAAGAGGAGGAGAUGUGGAGAAGUGUUGGAGAAGAGCAGAGGACAAACCUAGAGGAGUGGGCUGCUACAGGAACCAGCUUCACUUCUUGGCGUUGCAUUCUGCUGCAGCAUGGCUCCAGCUCUGAUGGCUCUAAGUGAUGUCCAAGGAGAAAGCUUGGUGAUUUAGAGAUGAAGAAGAAAGGAAUCGCACCCUUGCUCACUAGGUUUAAUUUGCUGACCUGACACGAACAUAUCCAUCUUUCAUGUUGAUCCUGGCUUAGACUCAGCAGAAACACAAGAGUGGAAAAUAACCCUUCUGACAGCUAGACAACGACACUGAACCAGUUCAGGAGAAAUGGAAGGUGGUCAUGGGAGCUGACCUUCAUCGGGAGAGACCUUUGGGAUGGAUCCGCCGGCCAGGAGAGGGAACGAGAAGCCUCCUGCAGGAAAGAGAAGUCAGUCUAGCUCAGGAGAAGCUCCUGGGAGAGGGACAUUCCUGUCGCUCACCCUUCCCGUGCCAGCCCUGCUCCAUCUGCUGGCAAGAGCCAUGCGGAGCCGCUGCUGUUGCCCGCGGGAUCCAGCCCCUCCUGUCCUCCUCCCCAGCCCACGUUCCCUCCACGGCUUCAUUUCAUGUGCCUCAAGUGCCGAGGGAGAGAAGAGCAGAGCCUCCCCCAGACACAGGAGGGAGAACAACCCUUAUUUUUGGAUCCCUGCUUUCCCAUGAGUUUCCCUCUGUUUUAGCCUCUAAAAUGCCAUCAGAGUUACAAAUUAAGUACUCUGCAUGCCGUGUAUUUACUAUCUGAUGUGUUGGCUGGGAAGUUGACUCCCCUGCUCACCCGUGGUCAGCCAAACCCAAUGGAAAUACCCUGCAAGUCCCCUGAGGUUGCACAUGGGGAUACUGAUGGGAAUGGAGUGAGAUGGCAGCACCAGCUGCUGCCUCAGCCAAGUGCCCAGGAAACCAGGGUACAGCUCUGAAAGGUGUUCAGGGGAAGCAGGAGUCCUUUGGCUCUUUGCUUUGCUGCUCAGCACUUUGCAAGGGUAUUAUUUUGGCUCUGCCUCCAUUUUUCCCUUGCCUACUAAGUGUUUAAGAGAACAGGCUGAGGAAAGCUCUGAUUUUUUCAAAAUAUGAAAGCAACAUGGAAAGCUUUUGCCAUGUAUGAACCUGCAUGGCACUGUGAAUUUGACUCACUUUUCUCUGUACCUGGAGAUGCAUGGUGAUCACAGCUCCCCUAUGGAAGGGUUUUUCAGCUCUGGCAGCAUGGGCAUUAAAUGCUUUUUCCUCUUGUCUUGCCUUCUGCUUUUGGGAAAUCAUCUGCACCUGGAAUUUGUGUCUCUUUUCCAUAUGGGAAAAGAAGUGUGUUCAUCCUGCUGUGGUCCCUACAUAUGGCAAAUCUUCCAGCUCUGGGUUACAGGCAGUCAGGUGAACGGGGUAGGUUCAGCUUCCCCACAGCAGCUGGCUCCUCGGGGAGGGAAGGAGGGCAGCCAGCGUCAGACCAGUGUUUACAGAAAGUUUAGUCUCCAGUGGAUUUCCCUAUUCCAGUGAAACAAUGGGAGGGUCUUGUGCUGUAUUAUCGGUGCUUCCUCUUUAUUCCGAUAUUAUCUGUGAAUUCUUGCAAAUAAUAGAUGACUGAGACUAUUGUUGUUUUGGGAAGUAGGAAGAUGAAAACAUUUCAUGGACCUUAGCAGUUUCAAUAGAGUUAUUCAUUGUGUUUGUAGUUAUGCAAGUCAGAAACAAGCAAAAUACCUGUUGGAAUAAAUAAUAACCCUGUGUAUUCACAAAAGCAGUUCUCUUACACCUCACUUUUAAUAAGAGAGACUGUUUCAGUCAAACAGGUGCUAGAGAGUUCAAAAUAAAAAAAGGAAAGCAAACAUUACUCCACUCUUAAUACCACGAGAUUUUGGGAAGCAAUCCAUCCCAGCUCUUCCAGGUAUCUGCUUUAAUGCAGGCAUGCUGAUAUAAAUUGCAUGAUGGUGAUUAAUAAAUCUUCUAUCAAUUGAACUUGAAGUCAAAAGAACAUACUUUUUUUUUCUUUUUUCUUUUCUAAACCUGCAUUAAAAUAGAUUAUUCAGAACUCUUGGAAUGAAAAGUGCUAGGUCAAAACUCACAUUUUUCUAGCAAGUCUAUGAAAAUUUACUAUAAAAAUGUCGCAUACUGUAGAAUCUCAAUUAUCCUGGAAGGCUUAUCCGGGUUAUGGCUUAAGUGUGCUAUUCAUGUGCUGCCAAUUUGCUCUAGAAGUACAAGAUGAGCUGCAGUGCCUUGCAAAGCAGCUGAACAGUUCCCUGGGCCAGCUGAAAUCCAGAAGCCAUUCAAUGGAUUGAUUUGGGUGCAGAAGUCUUGCAGCUUCCCUGCAGUCCCAUGCAGAGCUUCUCAGAGCUGGAAGCCACAGAGCCAUGUGGGUUCUCUGCACCUCUGGCAGGACUCAGAAUCUUCCUCUACAUCACGUGCUCCUCAUCUGGGAAGUCUUCUUGGUUUACAAACCUUGCCCUGCAACUGCACAGAGAUGGCUGUGGCAUGGGCCUGCACAGAAGCCACCUAUGGGUACCUGGCUGGACACUAAAACCUCCUGCAUCACUCAUGUAUUAUUAAUUCCUGUUACUUAAGACAUUUCUUCUCUUCUUCACCUCAAAUAAAGGAGACCUGUUGAUAUACCCAUGGGUAUAAUACUUUCUGGUCUUGGUAGAAAUUCUCUGGCUCAUUGUACUUUAACAUUGUUGAUAUUUUUUAUGCAUAUGCAAUUAAUAAAAAUUGGGCAAAACA